CGCCACGGGAGGAGCGCGCGGAACCCGGAAGAACUAGGCGGAGCGAAACUGAAACCACCCGCAACGAACUUUGACGAAAGCCUUUUGCAGCUGAAAUCCGCAAAUGCCUUUAAUAUCCUCCCUGAGGCGCGCAAGAGACAAAAAUGACUUUAGAGCGACCCCGACCCUAUUUUACCACCCACAGACACACAAAAACGAACACAGCAAAAGUAGAAAACCCAAUCCCUGUGCUCUUUAUGAAACAGGCAUUUAAGAACAGAAAGAAGCAGUGCUCAAGUGGGAGGAAAUAUUUGCAAAACAAUGAAGUGAAAUGAUCUCCUGGGAAAGGUGGGAAGCAGGAGAAAGGCGGAGUGAAACGACAGGGAGUUUCUCAGCGCUUCGGCUCCACCCGGGAGACCAAAGCCCCGGACGGCUCAGCGGGAGGCUCAGAUGUUUCCCCGCGCGAUGUCCUCUGUUUUCCGUCGCCAAGUCCGGGUCCCAAAGGCGCUGGCUGAGAGCCCCACGUUCCUUCGUUGCAUCCUGGCUCUGCUUCUGCUGCGGGACUGUCCCUGGACCGCACAGGCCGGUGCUCAGAGAGACAUGGCCAGCUCCACUCCUCCCCUGGCACCCACCUUCUGACCGCUCAGCACCUCUGUCCCUCUGCUGUCUACACGGACCAAUUCCUGCACUCUGCCUGCCUGCCUGCUCCUGUCACAUCCCUACCUGGCUGCUCUCGGAGGAGGAUCACACCGCAGCCCUUCCUGGUCUCCUGCUCAGCCUCCACCACAGUCUGUUCUGUUCAGCGAUUCAGAUCAUCCAUGUCCUGCACCAAGCCCGAGUCUCCAGCCUCGCUCUGUGCAGCUACAGCCUUUCCCAGGUAGACAAAAAAAAAAAGGUUUAUAGCAGGAAAGGUUGUGUCCCUUGA
rnacentral:lncRNA from 1 species